AAUCUUGCACAAUGGGGGAAACCCUGAUGCAGCGAUGCCGCGUGAGUGAAGAAGGCCUUUGGGUUGUAAAGCUCUUUCGUCGGGGAAGAAAAUGACUGUACCCGAAUAAGAAGGUCCGGCUAACUUCGUGCCAGCAGCCGCGGUAAUACGAAGGGACCUAGCGUAGUUCGGAAUUACUGGGCUUAAAGAGUUCGUAGGUGGUUGAAAAAGUUGGUGGUGAAAUCCCAGAGCUUAACUCUGGAACUGCCAUCAAAACUUUUCAGCUAGAGUAUGAUAGAGGAAAGCAGAAUUUCUAGUGUAGAGGUGAAAUUCGUAGAUAUUAGAAAGAAUACCAAUUGCGAAGGCAGCUUUCUGGAUCAUUACUGACGCUGAGGAACGAAAGCAUGGGUAGCGAAGAGGAUUAGAUACCCUCGUAGUCCAUGCCGUAAACGAUGUGUGUUAGACGUUGGAAAUUUAUUUUCAGUGUCGCAGCGAAAGCGAUAAACACACCGCCUGGGGAGUACGACCGCAAGGUUAAAACUCAAAUGAAUUGACGGGGACCCGCACAAGCAGUGGAGCAUGUGGUUUAAUUCGAAGAUACGCGCAGAACCUUACCAACGCUUGACAUGUUCGUCGCGACUUUAAGAGAUUAGAGUCUUCGGUUCGGCCGGACGAAACACAGGUGCUGCAUGGCUGUCGUCAGCUCGUGUCGUGAGAUGUUGGGUUAAGUCCCGCAACGAGCGCAACCCUCACUUUUAGUUGCCAUCAUUAAGUUGGGCACUCUGAAAGAACUGCCAGUGAUAAGCUGGAGGAAGGUGGGGAUGACGUCAAGUCCUCAUGGCCCUUACGUGUUGGGCUACACACGUGCUACAAUGGUAUCUACAACAGGAAGCAAAACCGCGAGGUUAAGCAAAUCCUUAAAAGAUACCUCAGUUCGGAUUGCACUCUGCAACUCGAGUGCAUGAAGCUGGAAUUACUAGUAAUCGUGGAUCAGCGUGCCACGGUGAAUGCGUUCCCGGGUCUUGUACACACCGCCCGUCACACCAUGGGAGUUGGUUCUACCUUAAGGCAAGGUUUAAAACCCUUGACCACGGUAUAGUCAGCGACUGGGGUGAAGUCGUAACAAGGUAGCCGUAGGGGAACCUGCGGCUG
rnacentral:rRNA from 1 species